ACCUAUGGCCAAACCGGACUGAAUACCCCGAUCCUGUCUGAUUUCAGAAGGUAAACCAUCCCGGGCCUGGCUAGUACUUGGAUGGGUGACCACGUGGGAAUCCUAGAUGCUAUAAACA
rnacentral:rRNA from 1 species